AGAGUUUGAUCCUGGCUCAGGAUGAACGCUGGCGGCGUGCCUAACACAUGCAAGUCGAACGGACUCAUAUUGAAACCUAUUGAUUUAUGAGUUAGUGGCGGACGGGUGAGUAACGCGUGAAAAACCUGCCGUAUACCGGGGGAUAACACUUAAAAAUAGGUGCUAAUACCGCAUAAGCGCACAGCUUCGCAUGAAGCAGUGUGAAAAACUCCGGUGGUAUAUGAUGGUUCCGCGUCUGAUUAGCUAGUUGGCGGGGUAACGGCCCACCAAGGCAGCGAUCAGUAGCCGGCCUGAGAGGGUGAACGGCCACUUUGGGACUGACACACCGCCCAAACUCCUACGGGAGGCAGCAGUGGGGAAUAUUGCACGGUGGGGGAAACCCUGAUGCGGCGACGCCGCGUGAGUGAAGAAUUAUUUCGGUACGUAAAGCUCUAUCAGCAGGGAAGAAAAUGACGGUACCUGACUAAGAAGCCCCGGCUAACUACGUGCCAGCAGCCGCGGUAAUACGUAGGGGGCAAGCGUUAUCCGGAUUUACUGGGUGUAAAGGGAGCGUAGACGGCAGCGCAAGUCUGGAGUGAAAUGCCGGGCCCCAACCCCCGGAACUGCUUUGGAAACUGUGCAUCUUUAGGUGCGGGAGAGGUAAGUGGAAUUUCCUAGUGUAGCGGGUGAAGAUGCGUAUAUAUUAAGGAAGGACCACCCAGUGGCGAGGGCUGCUUUACUGGCACCCGUAACUGACGUUUGAAGGCUCGAAAGGCGUGGAGGAGCAAAACAGGAUUAGAUACCCUUGUUAGUCCCACGCCGUAAACGAAUGAAUUACUAGGUGUGGGGAGAACCACGGCUCCUUCGGCUGGCCGGCGCAACGUCAUUAAUUAAUCC
rnacentral:rRNA from 1 species